UUUCUCACGUCCGACUGUCACACACUGGCUCUUGUCCACUAGGGGGCGAGCGUGGUCACUGCAGCCUGUUCGGCUGUGGCAAGGUCCGUAGAAGAAGACAAUGCUACAUGCUAACAGGAGCUAACAGGUCACGCCACAUAUUUCCUGAAAUGAGGCUGACUUCACCUGGCCCCGCCCACCUUCCCAGUUGGAGUCUCCUCACUCAUCUUUGCACUGACGUAUUAUCCAGCUCAUCACUGACCUGCAGCACACCUUUCAGGUGUCUGUAACACGGCAGUAAAACGGCUGAUCAAACAAAACAGAAGUCAUGGUCAUGGACCCACUAGCUGUGCAAGCUAGCUCUCCAAUCAGCUGAACAGACUCAAUAACUCCACGCUGAUGUUUUGGCAUUAGUGUCCAUGACUGAGCAGGCUGCAGAAAAGUGUGUGCCACAUGAAUUCCUCUGACAGACUUUUUACCAGCCGCUGUGGUUUGGAAGUCACAUUGUUUGAAGCCUUGGAGGAAAUGAUGGAAGGACGGCUGCUGCGCGAUAACUUCCUCACCGGGGACGUCUCACAACAACCAACUGCUGCACACUGGCAGCUUUUAUUUGGUAGCUGUGAGAAGCAUGCAGAUUAGGUCGCGGGGGCAGCUGCCUAAGCAGAGAAGUGAAG